CGUCUAUAUACGUAUAGCAUAUCAAUAAGCGGAGGAAAAGAAACUAACUAGGAUUCCCUUAGUAACGGCGAGUGAAGCGGGAAGAGCUCAAAUUUGAAAUCUUCAAGGUUCUACCUUGACGAAUUGUAGUUUAAAGAAGUGUUUUCUGUUAGAUGAGUAGGUAAAAGUUCCUUGGAAUAGGGACAUCAUAGAGGGUGAGAAUCCCGUAUUUGGUUAUUCAUUCUAGCUUUGUGAUACACUUUCAAAGAGUCGGAUUGUUUGGGAAUGCAGUCCAAAAUGGGUGGUAAAUUUCAUCUAAAGCUAAAUAUUGGCGAGAGACCGAUAGCGAACAAGUACCGUGAGGGAAAGAUGAAAAGAACUUUGAAAAGAGAGUUAAACAGUACGUGAAAUUGUCAAUAAGGGAAGCGUUCGACACCAGUGUUGUUUUCUCGAAAAUCAAUUAAAGAAGGCCUGGAUUUUGUGUUGUAUUGACUUUAUCAGCUUUCUGCACUCUUUUUCUUGUCUUUUUUAAUGCACUUUUCGUUUAACAAGUCAACAUCAAUUUCUUUUGUUGUAAAGGGGUCAUUGGAAGGUGGCUUUCUUUUCGGAGAAAGUGUUUAUAGCCUUUGGCCUCUGCAAUCGGAGAGAUUGAGGUCUGCAGCGUAGAUCCUUCGGGGUUAGAUACAUUUGUGCUAAGUUAUAGCCUUUCAUAGACAACUUGUUGACUAUGAUCAGUCAUGUAGCUUACUCGCUUAUGCUAUUUUACCUACGCUUAGGAUGUUGACUGAUAUGUAGUCGUA
rnacentral:rRNA from 1 species